UACGUAGGGGGCAAGCGUUAUCCGGAUUUACUGGGUGUAAAGGGGGCGUAGACGGCAGCGCAAGUCUGGAGUGAAAUGCCGGGGCCCAACCCCGGAACUGCUCUGGAAACUGUGCAGCUGGAGUGCAGGAGAGGUAAGCGGAAUUCCUAGUGUAGCGGUGAAAUGCGUAGAUAUUAGGAGGAACACCAGUGGCGAAGGCGGCUUACUGGACUGUAACUGACGUUGAGGCUCGAAAGCGUGGGGAGCAAACAGG
rnacentral:rRNA from 1 species